AAACACUGAGAAUAUGAGAAGAAAAGGAGCAAAGUCCCCAAAGGAGAAAGAAGUGUCUUUAUUUUCUACAUUUCCUGUGAAAGGCUAAUUUUGCUGCUUUCAAGCAAUUCAAAAUGAUUAUAGAGAGUGCUAAACUCAGAAAGGCAAAACAAGGUUAGAAUGAAGCCCAUGCAAAGAAAAUAUGGACCUGAAGAAAAACAAGCUAUGGACUAUCUUCUGUCUCAUGCUAGCAGUGGAAUAGGAAAAGGACUCAAAAGACUUCUACUGGCCAUAAUGAAGUACCUGUUACUAUAUUUGCUUUCCUACCAUAAGCAACUAUAAAACUGGACAAUAUAUAGGCAACUGAUCUCAUGCAUUUCAAGCAGCACAGGAUUCUGAUAAUUAACAGAAGGAAAGCACAUGAGGAUAAUACUGGAGGCUGCCAUGGGAGAAGUCUGCACAAAAAGAGCAAGUUUAAGAGCUUCAGGAGUCAUAAAUGGCUUGAGAAGAUUAUGCUAGAGAUUGAAGCAGAUGGAAGAUUCUAGAAACAGAAAGCAUUCUUUUCAUUGGUUCCCGAAGGCAAAAAUGAAUUGUACUCUUCUUAUACAUGUUGCUGCUUUCAAGAUUUCCAUUUUACACCAUUGAUGGGCCUUAGUUUUUGGGUUGUCUACAAAGUCAAGUUUCUCUUAUUUGGAAAACCUGAAUAUAGCCUUGCAGUACAAAGCACUGGUCAUGCUGUCCACUUUCAGAAGAUGGCAUGGAAUUCACAGCAACAAGAAAUGUUUUGGAAUGCUGGCAAAGGAGCAGAAAACAGUGUUCUCCCCACACAUUUAGAAAAAUAAAGACAGGUUUCCAUGUGCAAGGCUCCAGCCCAGACCAAUGACACUGCUUAUCUAUGAUUGUCAAAAUGCCAGCUAUCACCAGUGAAGAACUCCAGGUGGCACAAAUACUAUGACCUGUCUCCUAACAGAUCUCAGGAGUUAAGACAUCAUCUCCAGAAAACUGUGCUAGUUGGCAUCCAGCAGUGCCCAAGUAUUAUUUAACCCACUAGAACCUGUGACUGCAUCAGCUUUAUAUCCUGGACCUCAGCCUGGAACAAAGGAGAGCUACACUUGGAUACUAAACACAAGUGGUCUGGAUAGAUUAUGCUGGGAAAAGAAGCCUGGAGCAGGCAGUACAGUGGGAGAACAAGUCUUGAAAGAUGGGAAGAUCAGGAGCAGUCUGGAGUCAUGGUAUAUGAAUGAACUAGUGAGAGUGGGCACAAAGUCUGAAGAUCUUUGUAGUGCAGCUAAUGUCUAAGGGAGAAUAUACCUACCCUAGAAGAGACAUUAAACAACCAGUUCAACCAAUCUACAAAGGCCAAAAAUAUUUUCACAGGCCCCCAAAAGAUGAACUCCAAUCUGCUGCCCCUAAACGCAUUCUCCACUGUCUGGAAGAUGUGCAAAGGCAACGGCACAGCGUUCUCCAUCUCAAAUCCUUCAAAGUGCUGUCAGAAUAAAAGAAUCCCCACCAAAAGCCCCAGGGAAAUCUAUCUGUCUGUAUGGUAUGGUAAUGACUGAGGUUAUUCCAGAUAGGAUUCUGGGAGAAACUCAGCUAUUGAAAUCUAAUGAAUGGAACUGAGAAUUUCUUGUUAUAAUACUGUUUGUUUGAUUGAAUAUAUCCUUGCAUAUAGGAAGACAUAAAAAUAAAUAAUAAAAGCAAGAUAUUAUUUGAAUUUUUGUUUGAUUAUAUAAUCUGAGAAUUUUUCUGGUAAGUAAUUUUGCAUCUGGAUUUAUUUUUUCUGCCAGUCACUUGCCUUUCUAGUUUUAUGUCAUUUUUAUCUCUUUCCUAUUUUAAUGUCAGCACCUAGGUUUACAUUAAGGAUUGUAUUUUUUUAAUCACCAGGGAUUACAACAAUUUAUGUUCCUUUUCUAGCUGCCAAAAUACAGAUAUUUCCUUUCUUCUGCUAUAUUCUUGCUGGACAACUCCUUUCAAAAUAUUUUUAACUUUUUCUGUUUGAAGUGAAUUUCAGUUCAUUGUAGAAAUAAUACAAAAUGAGUAACAGGCAAUAAAUAAAUGAAUAGUCCUUUGGAUUUUUACCACCCAGAGAUAAUAGUUCUUAAUCUAAGUGUGAGCCUUAAUCUAUAGCAAUGAAAAUUAGUCUUACUUUCACCAAAGACAUCCAGGGUUCCCCUAUCCUCUUCUGUAGAGGCAGCCCUAUUACCAGUGUCUUGUGUUUACUUUCAGAGGAGUACAUGCAAACAUCUGUAUAUAUGCCAUUUUUACAGGAAAAUGAUAAAUUUUACAUUUUUCAGAUCCUUGCUUUUUCAUGUAACAAUAAAUCUUGAAAUCA
ensembl:lncRNA LINC01013 long intergenic non-protein coding RNA 1013